AUUAUCGUUUAACGUAAGUUUUGACGAAUAAUUCUUCUCGAAAAUUCGAUUAAAUUUAUUUCUAUAUAUUAAUAAACGACAUUGUAAUAAUUAAUUUUCAAUCUUUUACAGAUCGAACAGCUGGUCAUCUUCAGUAGAAUAGUCUCUUGAUCGAUCGUUCGAAAUUAUUUAUUCCCUAUUUAUCAAUACACAAAUAUCUUGCAUAAAUAUAAUUGCGAAAAGCGAUUUAGGGACUCGGUGAUAAAACAUCCUCUCGAAGCUGAUCGAACGAUACUCUCAAUUCUCUUAAUGCCAGAGGAACUCGGCUCGGUAUAAUUCAGCAAGGGGUGGUAGCUGAUAGCGGUAAGUGAUGGACAUUGGUAAUGUGCUGCAUCUGCUUUGCCACGAGGCGAGGCGUUCGAGCUUUUAUUAAACACGCUCUUUGUUCCGUGGAAAAAGAAACACGAAAGCGAGAACGAUUGUCUUCCUAAAAGAAAGGAGGGGGCAGAAAAAUUAAAUAAUCCCACCCUUCGAAAAGCACUUUCUCGUUCAAGGAUAUGAUUUAUACUUGUCAAUAUAUUGUUCCUUCAACUUUGAAUUAUUAGAUUAUUGGAUGUAUAUAUAAAUAUUAAUAUGUUAUAAUACAUUGCGCAACAUUUUGUAAAUUACACGUGUUGCGUAUAUUUAAGACAGGAGGUAAAUUAUUAAUAAAAUCUAUGGAUCUAUUGAUCUAUAAUCUAAUAAUUAAAAAAUUUGAAUUUUACAGUUUUGUAAUAAACAUUUUAUUCGGUUCAUCAAUUGGCAUAUUUAUAACACUUGUGAAAUUGAAGAGGGAGAAAAGGUGUAUAAUAGUGGAAAAAGACAGGAGUUUUGUAUCCGGAUAAACAUUUUAUUCAUAACACUUGCAAAAUUGAAGAGGGA